GUAAUAAAACCUAGUAUCUUAUAUAAUAAAGUAAGGUUUCCUCAAACUUGUGCUCUAAAAAUCUUACAAGUGGCGCUUUAUUCAUUCGACAUGUGUCAUUCUUCUUAAAUUUAAAUAUACUAUUUUCCAUAUUCUUUGAGUUUAAUUAAUAUUCUAUUUAAUGACACAUGUGAUAUCACGUUUUCUUUUAUUUAUUAUGUCUAACUAUUGCUGUUUU
rnacentral:sRNA from 1 species